GGAUAGAAACAUGUCCAGAGGGAUGUUGGGAUCGAGAUAAUGAAGCCACUCCCCUGGUAUUCAUGGACCAGUGACCCCAUCAAAGGAUUAGAUGGGUCUGACAUCAUCUGCUCUUGAUAAACUCAUGUUGCAUCAAUUUUAGUAGACCAAAGAGAAGGAAACAUGUAAAGAACAAUUAAACUGAUGCAUUCAUAUGUUAGAGGAAGACAGGAGAUUUAAUUCAUGGAAGUUGACUGAUGAAGAAAUAAGUUUUGUGAAAUUGUUUAGAGCCACACAUGGAAGACUUACAAAUAACAGUAUGGUGACAAACUCACUAAGAAGUUGUUCAUGUCCCUAGCCUGUCCUGAUCUAGAAGAUAUGAACAGAGACUCUUAGAUAAUGAAAAUAUCUUGAUAAGAAGCUUUUGUCUUCCUUUGCAUUGCUUGGAAUGUCUUCUUUUUAUUGUCUUCAGUAAGAACAACAUGAAGGGGAUUUAAUAUUUGUAGAGGUACAAAGGUGAGGAAGCACACGGGCACUUAUCAAAACAUUCUUGCUGUCCAACUUGGACCCUGCCACAGAAGACUCCAUUCAGCCCAGUGAUUGUGAAAGAGGAUGCUCCAACUGGCUGUGGAGAAAGCCUUCUGAGAAGGGGCUUGCGCUUGUCAUACUGCUGUCAGGUGUAUGUGGCCCAAUAGGAAGGACAGACACCAUAUUUACUUGUGGACUUCACAAUAUUAAAGAGCCUGGAGGGAUGAAAGAAUCUAUUUAGUUCAAACAGACUUCUUUAUAUGUCAUUUGCCUAUUCUCCUUGUCUCACCCCAAAAUUUCCACCUCUGUGAAGGAUAACAGGAAGGAUUCUCACUGGGCAGAAUGAGGAAUAAACAGGUAGGCUACAGUGGUAAGUAUGGCAGAGAAAGAAAGUGCAUAUUUUGCCCUGGAGAUUGAAAAAGCUUCCAGUCAUCCUGAAGUACGUGCCAAAAGACCUUAGGGAGGAUCCAAAAUCUUUCCUCUGAGCUCAGAAUGCAAUCUGGAGGCAUCCUGUCUAACUUCAUUAGUCCUCAUUCUCACAAAGGAUUAACCUAUCAUGAUGCCAUGUGAGUGUUUAUCAGUGAAAGAACCUCAAACUUAUUCUCAUGGGCAUAAGUCAUAAUAAUAAGGCAUAAGGCAUAGUGCUAAGUAAAACUGGUUUGAUGCUUUGCCCAUUAGUAGUAGUGGCAAAAUUAAUCAAUGGUUUCAAUUAUGUGAUUGUCAGUGCAAAUCUCUACAUGUUUUUAGUUUGUAUUAUUCUCACAGAGAACAUGUAUAUCCCAGAUGUCAAAUUUUGUAAGAGAAUAGAUGAGCCUACAGGUAUUUUGUAAGAAUUCAUAAUAUGGAAUAAUUCACUCUGAGCUAAUAAAAGGGUGGAAGACUGAAAAAUAGAUAUAUUCACUGUA